rnacentral:piRNA from 1 species
CCCCUGCUUCCUUUUGGAGGUUCCUG